rnacentral:tRNA from 1 species
GUGAUUAUAGCUCAGUGAUAGAGCUCUUGCUUCACAUGCAUGAAACAGUGGGUUCAAUCCUCAGCAUCACA